CCAAGAGGUAAAGCUUGGCGCCAGUGUGAUGUCGCUGCGCCAACCAGUGCCAGCGCCCCGGCUGGCGCACGCCCCGUGCAGCCCUGGGAGCCACCACGGCGCGGUGUUUGAAGGCAACAGAUUGGUGGCAUUAUUCAUUUGGUUGGGUAAAUGCAGAAAUCUCCACCGAGCUUCUUACAUCUAAUGGAGAUCCCAAACUUGCCUUGCAGUGGUAUAAGCUUUCGUAACAGCAACGCCUCUUUGUGUCAACAUGUCUCAUUAAGUAAUAAAGACUUUCAGCUAUUUGAUUUUACUCAUAAAGUUA